CAAUUUAAUCUGCUCCGAGCCCAACAGUCUAAGGCUUGCUAUGAUUGUUAGGCCGUCAGGGUUUACAGGGAAACCGGUAAGCCUCCCGUGUGGAAAGGAGCACAGUAUGAGAAUGU
rnacentral:ncRNA from 2 species